UGAUUUUAGGGAAUAGUAAACGUUAUGAAAAAAUCCAUUGUAUAAUAUAAUUAUAGUGUAUAGUUCAUGAAUCCGAAGUGGUUCAAAAGGAUGUCGCUGUACAGAUUCAGAGCGGCCGCUUCCAGCUCAGCAAAAGUGAAAGCCACUUGACGGUUAAAUUCGUAGUGUGUCCGCUGAUAGCGCUCGGGGACAGAAAAAUCUCAUAGGUCAGAGUCGCUUCCGACUUCGUUACCGUCAACAUUAAACACAACAGCAAGAUACUUGGAAAGGACUUUCUCGUUCGAACAAACAUAAUGGAAGCGUAUUCUACACGCACAUAUUCACUCGGGCCAACCGUGUGACUCAUUUGGAAAAAGGACCCAUCGUCGGUUUCAUGGCAGCGAAGUGAGCAGACAAAAAAGGCAUCGUUUUUUUCCACAUGAUCGUUCUGAGCAAAAUUCUGCGAUUUGCCAGGCAUAAACCACCGAUGAGACAGUACCCGUUCGGAUUCAGGACGUUUUCCCAUACAUUGUACCCGGUCGAAGCGAUGACAAGCGAUGCAGAUAACUGGAUCAAAAAGGCGGAGGUUCUGGGAAUUUCUGCACUCGUUAGCGAUCUGAGUAUGACCAAGGACAAGGAAUCAGAACCGGCGACUGACAGUCCAGAGAAAGAGAAUGCGGAAAAACCUUCUAGUCCAUAGCUCCUGAAGAAAAACGAGCUGAAGCGAAUAUGGAGAAACAGCUUCCUCCACGGAAAAUGCAGAGGCAUGCAACGCGGCGGAUGCAAGUUUGCUAAUUGAAAUUAUUCGCAAAGAUCUAGUAGAAUUAAAACUGGAGGUGCUGCGAAACGAUCCUUUUGCGACGCUAUACUCGGUUAAAACUAUCGACGCUUUGCACUUGAUGCCGGAACUGCCCACCCCGAGAGCAGAUGAGCGCUGGGGAAUGUUUUCAGCCACCUGGAGGAGGAAGUUCAGCGCGGAAGAAAUGUUACCAGACUUCGCCGAUCUGGUAGCUGGACUUUUUUUGAUGAUCUCAUAGAGAUUGGGUGUGCAGAUGGGCGUUUAAAGUUCUGGGAGGGAACGACUGGUAACUUUUAGGAUAUAUAUGAAGCUGAAAACAACCACAACAAUGGGGUAACUAACAUAAACCUCGCCGGUGACAAAGUGAUAGUCGCACGGUUGAGUGAACGAAUCGAUUUUCUGAGACUGGAAACGUACACGUAAGGUUUUCAGAUCGAUUGGGGAUUUACGUCUGCAUAUGGGCGAACCCACGUACGCAGCGGUUCAGCAGGAAGCAUUAGUUUAUUUCAGCAACUCGCCGGCUCAAAUCCGUCCACAGCGUUGCCAGCUCAACAUCACGCAUCCGAGGAGGAGCUUCGAUGUAUCCUGGAGUUUCACCAGCAGGGUCACCGGUGACAUGUUUGGAAGUGGCGGGCGGUACAGUCAUUACUGGCAGCCAGGGCCACACUGUUAACGUGUUCCGGCUUGAUAGCCACCUAUUGCAGUUCACCCUAAACGGCCAUUGCGGUCCUAUCACAUGUAUUUUCAUAGACCAGUGGCAGGCCGAGAUGGGCGCAUCUGGUUGCCAGGAUGGUGUGCUAUGUGUGUGGGACUUGAUACGGGGUGCCUGUAUGUACAAAAUUGAAGCCCAUGACGACAUGACGUCGCACUUGCCUGUUCCCCGAGUUACGCAAUAUCGCUCGGACUGAACGAACG